CAAACAUCCAAGGAUGUUUCCCCUGAAGAAAGCCAGUUCAUCCAAGGAUUGUCAAUUCACCAUUAGGCUGUUUGGACUCUCAUUCUGACGGCACCCAUUCAAUUCAGAGGAUCAAUUGGUGAGCAAGUGAUGGAAUGCUACAUUUCUCCAAAUCUGUUCUGAUGGAGAUACAAAUUCUACAUCUACAUCUUGGAUAAUCUGAGGGUGAGAGCAUGUGUGGCUGCCGGACUCCGCCCCUUACCUGGACCCUUCCAUCCUGAACACUACCUGCCCUUCACAUACCCCACAGCAUGGCGAGGACACCAGAUUCCCUGUUUAUUUUGGACACUCUUCCCCUUUGGACACUUUUAUUUCCCUUUAUUCCUUUAUUUUCUGUAAAUUAAAGCCACCCCCACUGUGUCUGUCGUUUGAUCCUCCCGUCACAAUAUAUACACAUUUAUAUUUAACAAAAC
ensembl:lncRNA